GAUGAAGAACGUAGUGAAAUGCGAUAAGUAAUGUGAAUUGCAGAAUUCAGUGAAUCAUCGAAUCUUUGAACGCACCUUGCGCCCUUUGGCUAUUCCGAAGGGCAUGCCUGUUUGAGUAUCGUGAACACCUCAACUCUCAUGGUUUGCCAUGAUGAGCUUGGACUUGGGGGUUUUGCUGGCCUUCGGUCGGCUCCUCUCAAACGGAUCAGCUUUCCAGUGUUUGGUGGCGUCACGGGUGUGAUAACUAUCUACGCCUGUGGUUUUCUGCCAGAUAACCUUCAGCGAUGGAGGUUCGCUGGGGCUCAUAAAUGUCUCUCUUCAGUGGAGACAGCUUUUUGGACGUUUGAUCUCAAAUCAGGUAGGACUACCCGCUGAACUUAAGCAUAUCAAUAAGCGGAGGA
rnacentral:misc_RNA from 1 species